rnacentral:rRNA from 1 species
UACGUAGGGGGCGAGCGUUGUCCGGAGUUACUGGGCGUAAAGGGCAUGCAGGCGGUCGGACGCGUUUCGGGUGACAGCGGGUGGCUUAACUACCCGAGUGGUCGAAAGACGGUUUGACCUGAGGACGCGAGAGGGACACGGAAUUCCGGGUGGAGUGGUGAAAUGCGUAGAGAUCCGGAGGAACACCGAAGGCGAAGGCAGUGUCCUGGCGCGUAACUGACGCUGAGGUGCGAAAGCCAGGGGAGCGAACGGG